UCACAAAAGGGGUUACGUACUUGCUAAAUUACGCCUCCACUUAAGACGGUUCUGGGGCGGCUCUCACGCUAAUGAGGGGGGCUCGCCGGUAGGUUCGACUUCGGUCAAGCCAGUCGUCUCUCUCCUCUGGCCGAGGGGAGGUGAGGUCUCCUGCGAUGCUCGUCGAUGACUGGGGCCCCCAUUCACGACUAACAGCGUGCUCAGGGUCCCGAGGCGAUAUCGACGAGGUGCGACUUGGUUGCCGCGUAGCUUGGACAGUCCGAUGGCUACGGGGUCAGCGUACAUCGGUGUGGGUGUGCAAGGGGGUCUGCCCAUGGUUCACAAUGAGCUACUUCGAGAGGGGGAAAGGCUCACAAAUCUUGUGUCGUUCCAUUCCGAGGACGAACGAUAUUGGACAAGGCCCCAUGGCCUAGAAUUAACUGGAUGGGCGGCAACCGAAUUCUGAUCGGAGGUGAGGAAGACGGUCCUCCACGGAUCAGUUGGGUGCAAUGGGGGCUUGAGAGGGGUCGGAGGAGUUAUUCUACGGUCCUGGGCGAGUUUGGGGGGCUUAAAUACCCAGGCUACGUCGGUACCGACGGCUUGCAGAUAACCCAGGCGACAAUACCCACAUGCGACAUGGCGAGGGAAGGAGG
rnacentral:lncRNA from 1 species